rnacentral:rRNA from 1 species
AUGGAACAUCUGCUUGUGGGAUGCCCAUUCUCGCGGCAGGUGUGGCACGACUACUUCAGCUGGUGCUACGCCCAGGCCCGUGCGCCGGCGCCCAUUGACCAAUUCCUAGACUGGUGGCACGCUACCACACUGGCCACGCCGGCGGGGCAUCGGAAAGGCAUCUCCUCGCUCAUUCUUCUAAUCGCCCGGUCCAUUUGGAAGCAUCGCAACUCCUGCGUCUUCGACGGCGCCGCACCCUCUACGACCAAGCUCCUCCAUGACAUCCAAGAGGAGGCUCGCUCAUGGGCCAAGGCAGGGGUCAAGGGACUAGCCAUCAUCACACCGUAG